rnacentral:rRNA from 1 species
AGUGAACGCUGGCGGUAGGCCUAACACAUGCAAGUCGAACGGCAGCACAGUAAGAGCUUGCUCUUACGGGUGGCGAGUGGCGGACGGGUGAGGAAUACAUAGGCAUCUACUUUUUCGUGGGGGAUAACGUAGGGAAACUUACGCUAAUACCGCAUACGACCUACGGGUGAAAGCAGGGGAUCUUCGGACCUUGCGCGAUUGAAUGAGCCGAUGUCGGAUUAGCUAGUUGGCGGGGUAAAGGCCCACCAAGGCGACGAUCCGUAGCUGGUCUGAGAGGAUGAUCAGCCACACUGGAACUGAGACACGGUCCAGACUCCUACGGGAGGCAGCAGUGGGGAAUAUUGGACAAUGGGCGCAAGCCUGAUCCAGCCAUACCGCGUGAGUGAAGAAGGCCUUCGGGUUGUAAAGCCCUUUUGUUGGGAAAGAAAAUCAGCAGGUUAAUACCCCGCUGUUCUGACGGUACCCAAAGAAUAAGCACCGGCUAACUUCGUG